CGACCGGCGCACGGUGCGUAACGCGUAUGCAACCUACCUUUAACAGGGGGAUAACACUGAGAAAUUGGUACUAAUACCCCAUAAUAUCAUAGAAGGCAUCUUUUAUGGUUGAAAAUUCCGAUGGUUAGAGAUGGGCAUGCGUUGUAUUAGCUAGUUGGUGGGGUAACGGCUCACCAAGGCGACGAUACAUAGGGGGACUGAGAGGUUAACCCCCCACACUGGUACUGAGACACGGACCAG
rnacentral:rRNA from 1 species